CAGCCGCCGCGGGAAUACGAAGGGGGCUAGCGUUGUUCGGAUUAACUGGGCGUAAAGGGCGCGUAGGCGGGUUUUUAAGUCAGAGGUGAAAUCCCAAGGCUCAACCUUGGAACUGCCUUUGAUACUGGAAGUCUUGAGUCCGGGAGAGGUGAGUGGAACUGCGAGUGUAGAGGUGAAAUUCGUAGAUAUUCGCAAGAACACCAGUGGCGAAGGCGGCUCACUGGCCCGGUACUGACGCUGAGGCGCGAAAGCGUGGGGAGCAAACAGGAUUAGAUACCCCGGUAGUCCCUGUCUCUUAUAC
rnacentral:rRNA from 1 species